rnacentral:tRNA from 1 species
GGUGGGAUGGCUGAGUGGACGAAAGCGGCGGUCUUGAAAACCGUUGUGGCGCAAGUCACCGUGGGUUCGAAUCCUACUCCCACCGCCA